UACGUAGGUGGCAAGCGUUGUCCGGAUUUACUGGGCGUAAAGCGCACGUAGGCGGCUUUCUAAGUCGGGGGUGAAAUCCUGGAGCUCAACUCCAGAACUGCCUUCGAUACUGGAGAGCUCGAGUCCGGGAGAGGUGAGUGGAACUGCGAGUGUAGAGGUGAAAUUCGUAGAUAUUCGCAAGAACACCAGUGGUGAAGGCGGCUCACUGGCCCGGUACUGACGCUGAGGUGCGAAAGCGUGGGGAGCAAACAGG
rnacentral:rRNA from 1 species